CCUACGGGAGGCAGCAGUGAGGAAUAUUGGUCAAUGGACGAGAGUCUGAACCAGCCAAGUAGCGUGAAGGAUGACUGCCCUAUGGGUUGUAAACUUCUUUUAUAUGGGAAUAAAAUGUUCCACGUGUGGGAUUUUGUAUGUACCAUAUGAAUAAGGAUCGGCUAACUCCGUGCCAGCAGCCGCGGUAAUACGGAGGAUCCGAGCGUUAUCCGGAUUUAUUGGGUUUAAAGGGAGCGUAGGUGGAAUGUUAAGUCAGUUGUGAAAGUUUGCGGCUCAACCGUAAAAUUGCAGUUGAAACUGGCAGUCUUGAGUACAGUAGAGGUGGGCGGAAUUCGUGGUGUAGCGGUGAAAUGCUUAGAUAUCACGAAGAACUCCGAUUGCGAAGGCAGUUCACUGGACUGCAACUGACACUGAGGCUCGAAAGUGUGGGUAUCAAACAGGAUUAGAUACCCCUGUAGUC
rnacentral:rRNA from 1 species